UACAGAGGUCUCGAGCGUUAGGCGGAAUCACUGGGCUUAAAGCGUGUGUAGGCGGAUCGGUAAGUACCUUGUGAAAUCCCACAGCUUAACUGUGGAACUGCUUGGUAUACUGCCAGUCUUGAGCCAGCUAGGGGCUACCGGAACAAAUGGUGGAGCGGUGAAAUGCGUAGAUAUCAUUUGGAACGCCAAUGGUGAAAACAGGUCGCUGGGGCUGUGCUGACGCUGAGACACGAAAGCCAGGGGAGCAAACGGG
rnacentral:rRNA from 1 species